GACUCCCGCGAGAGCCCCACUGCCGCGGGCCUCGGCGCCGGCGGCCUCUCUCGCUCCGUCGGGCCCUGGCCCCCCUGGAGGGAGCCGUGCGGGUGCGGCCCCCCGUCCCUGCCCAGGCUCGGGGGCUGAGCAAAGGCGCCCGGGCAGAGAAGCGCCGCGAGGCAGGCGGCGGCUGGGCCGGGCUCGCCGGGGGGGGGUGACACGGAGCCGCCUGCCGCGAGCUGCCGGGGCCGGUCCUGCCGGGGGAGCGAACAGCGGGCCCCGGCUGACGGGUCUCAGCGGGAGCCGGGUCAGCCCCUACCCGCAAGCCGACGGAGGCGUCCCCGGGGCCCCUGAGAGAGGAACACGUUGAUCUGGGCUAGAAGCGGAAGAUGCAGGAGCAGGUUAAAGGGACACAGGGGUACACCAGGCAGGUAUGGGACACAUCCCACACAUUUCCCAAGAGACAUGCUGGAUCCGAGAUGGCAAUCUAACGGCUGUUAGAGAUGGAGAAUUGGACACAUGAAGUCAUCAGGCAGAAGAACGCCACUACAGGAGCACCACAGAGCACCCUGUGUUAGGGUUACAACUGCCCCAGCUGAGAGCGCCACAAUGGCUCAGCCAUAGCAGAGACAAUCCUGUAACUCCGGUGUCCUCAGAACGCCACUUGCUCCUGCUGCCAAGUGGGGGCCAGAAAGUAUCAGCCUCUGUCGUGUGACCCCCACCCAACUGCUAGGCUCAUGGAUGGCAGUGAGGUCAAACCUGGGGAUCCAUCAUGAGGAGAAGCUCCUAGGGUUGGAGAGUGGAGUUGGCUGAGGGGAAAUGGAGAGAGAAGCCACCUGGUGCCAGCUCCAGCACUGCUAGGCCUCAGUGCUGAGGUAGCUGUGUGUGUAUCACCUCCCUCAAGCCAGUGGGGUGAGGCUCUGUGCCUUGCGGCAACUGGCAACACCACAAACAUUGGGCUCCAUACAGAAGCGUCUCUGUAACAGAGUUAGAAGCCCACGAAGGCUUUGCCUGCAUUUUGUUGAGUUACAACAUCCUUCCCCUACCGAUGGUUGGGUCUGCAGAGUGUGUCGGUGGCUAUGGCUUGUGAGAGAGAAAGGUGAAAAUGCCCUGAGCUUGCUGUCACUUACAAGAAGAUUAAACCCAUUGCUUCUUGUCCUAUCUUCAGUGGACAUGGAGAACAAUUGAUCGCCAUCCUCUUUACAAGAGCCCUUAACAUAUAUAAGGGCUUGGCUACACUUGCGAGUUACAGAGCAAUAAAGGAGCCCCAGGCGAACUAGCUCACUACCCAUCCAUGCUGGCAAGGUACAUAGAGCGCUCUGAGUCCAUGGCUACAGCACUGCUGGUACUCCACCUCAGCGAGUGGAAUAACGUUUGUUGCGCCCCCGCUGGAGCACCGCGGUGCCAGUGUGGACGACCUGGUCCUAUAGUGCGCUCUGAUCGGCCUCCAGAGGUGUCCCACAAUGACUCUUCUGGCCACUCUGGUCAUCACUUUGAACUCUACUGCCCUGCCCUCAGGUGACCAACCAUCAGACCUGCCCUUUAAAUU